GCAGAUGUCCCUGCACAUGAACGUCCCUGUGCGUCGUCGUCAAGGCAACGUAACUAGUCCGGGGCCGGCCCGGAGUGUAGAAGAGGGCCUCUCGGUGAAAAUGGACAGCCCGUAACGACUAACCCUCCCCACCGGACGGUCCCUGCAGCAUAGAUGGCCCGGACCAGCUCACCCUUCCUUCCCACCGAGGGGAGUGGAUGUGCUCAAGGGCCAAAUGAUUCCCCCAGCAAUGACAACUGAUAACAGAGGGAAGCAAUCUGCGACUUGCGUUGGGACAGCUCAAGAAAAACAUAGUUGUUCAAAGGGCCACCAUUAUGCACAUGUCUUUAGUACCUAACUGAAAGUUGAAUUCGCAGAAACAAUCAUGUAACCAACAGGGUCCGAGGCUUAUAAGAAGAAACAGGACAUAUCAUGUACCAGACUAAACAAGCUAGCUGACAGAUCCCUAACUAAACUCCUAUCAAGAGAUGGACUGCACUGCUGAAUUGAGUCCAAAACGCACAAAGCUGCAUGAGAAAAGCCAAUGAAUCAGCAUUGAGUCAGUCAUCAAUUGAACUGCACUACUUCAACAUACUCUACAGACAGAGAUAUCAGG